AUGAAAGAACUGCUUUUUUUUUCCUAUUUUUCUUUUUGUAUGUGUGUUAUAGAUGGAUCUGAGAACGCUGUCUGGGCUUGGUGCCAAGGGCUGGUAUUUCACAGCAGCGACCGCCUCACAGACGAGCUGUGGGAAGCAGGAGGGAGACUCUCUCUUAGGGUGCCACUACUAUGGAGACACAGCUGGGCUGAACAAGAUUUGCUUCAAACGACAACAAGAGAGACAGAAAGUAUCUGGUUCAACCGCUGCCCGAGCAGGCAGGCACCAGAAGAGCUAGCAGCCAAUCCGGCCAUGCUCGAAGCCAGCUCUGCAGCUCAGCCAAUCAGUGACAUCACUGCUUUCUUUAGCUUGCCCAUGGUGAUGUGA
rnacentral:lncRNA from 1 species